rnacentral:rRNA from 1 species
AAAGCGCGCGUAGGUGGUUUGUUAAGUUGGAUGUGAAAUCCCCGGGCUCAACCUGGGAACUGCAUUCAAAACUGACUGACUAGAGUAAGGUAGAGGGUGGUGGAAUUUCCUGUGUAGCGGUGAAAUGCGUAGAUAUAGGAAGGAACACCAGUGGCGAAGGCGACCACCUGGACUAAUACUGACACUGAGGUGCGAAAGCGUGGGGAGCAAACAGGAUUAGAUACCCCUGU